GCCCUUCACUCUGGGAUAAGCACUGGAAACGGUGUCUAAUACUGGAUAUGCACAAUGGCCGCAUGGUCUGUUGUGGGAAAGAUUUAUCGGUGAAGGAUGGGCUCGCGGCCUAUCAGCUUGUUGGUGAGGUAGUGGCUCACCAAGGCGACGACGGGUAGCCGGCCUGAGAGGGUGACCGGCCACACUGGGACUGAGACACGGCCCAGACUCCUACGGGAGGCAGCAGUGGGGAAUAUUGCACAAUGGGCGCAAGCCUGAUGCAGCAACGCCGCGUGAGGGAUGACGGCCUUCGGGUUGUAAACCUCUUUUAGUAGGGAAGAAGCGAAAGUGACGGUACCUGCAGAAAAAGCACCGGCUAACUACG
rnacentral:rRNA from 1 species